UACGUAGGGCGCGAGCGUUGUCCGGAAUUAUUGGGCGUAAAGAGCUCGUAGGCGGCCUGUCGCGUCUGCUGUGAAAUCCCGGGGCUUAACCCCGGGCGUGCAGUGGAUACGGGCUGGCUGGAGGCAGGCAGGGGAGAACGGAAUUCCCGGUGUAGCGGUGAAAUGCGCAGAUAUCAAGAGGAACACCUGCGGCGAAGGCGGGUUGCUGGGCCGACACUGACGCUGAGGCGCGAAAGCCAGGGGAGCGAACGGG
rnacentral:rRNA from 1 species